UUAAGCGACUAAGCGUACACGGUGGAUGCCCUGGCAGUCAGAGGCGAUGAAGGGCGUGCUAAUCUGCGAUAAGCGCCGGUAAGGUGAUAUGAACCGUUAUAACCGGCGAUACCCGAAUGGGGAAACCCAGUGUGACUCGUCACACUAUCAUUAACUGAAUCCAUAGGUUAAUGAGGCGAACCGGGGGAACUGAAACAUCUAAGUACCCCGAGGAAAAGAAAUCAACCGAGAUUCCCCCAGUAGCGGCGAGCGAACGGGGAGGAGCCCAGAGCCUGAAUCAGCAUGUGUGUUAGUGGAAGCGUCUGGAAAGGCGCGCGAUACAGGGUGACAGCCCCGUACACAAAAGCGCAUGUGCUGUGAGCUCGAUGAGUAGGGCGGGACACGUGGUAUCCUGUCUGAAUAUGGGGGGACCAUCCUCCAAGGCUAAAUACUCCUGACUGACCGAUAGUGAACCAGUACCGUGAGGGAAAGGCGAAAAGAACCCCGGCGAGGGGAGUGAAAAAGAACCUGAAACCGUGUACGUACAAGCAGUGGGAGCCCCACCACCAAAGCAUUCUCUGGUGUUGAAGGCCCUGCAAAGCAGCAUCGCGGUGGCGGAGCGUCGUUUGCGACGCCCAACACACAAAACAAGCGGUGAAUGCUUUGGGGUGGGGUGACUGCGUACCUUUUGUAUAAUGGGUCAGCGACUUAUAUUCUGUAGCAAGGUUAACCGAAUAGGGGAGCCGGAGGGAAACCGAGUCUUAAUUGGGCGUUAAGUUGCAGGGUAUAGACCCGAAACCCGGUGAUCUAGCCAUGGGCAGGUUGAAGGUUGGGUAACACUAACUGGAGGACCGAACCGACUAAUGUUGAAAAAUUAGCGGAUGACCUGUGGCUGGGGGUGAAAGGCCAAUCAAACCGGGAGAUAGCUGGUUCUCCCCGAAAGCUAUUUAGGUAGCGCCUCGUGAAUUCAUCUCCGGGGGUAGAGCACUGUUUCGGCUAGGGGGCCAUCCCGGCUUACCAACCCGAUGCAAACUGCGAAUACCGGAGAAUGUUAUCACGGGAGACACACGGCGGGUGCUAACGUCCGUCGUGAAGAGGGAAACAACCCAGACCGCCAGCUAAGGUCCCAAAGUCAUGGUUAAGUGGGAAACGAUGUGGGAAGGCCCAGACAGCCAGGAUGUUGGCUUAGAAGCAGCCAUCAUUUAAAGAAAGCGUAAUAGCUCACUGGUCGAGUCGGCCUGCGCGGAAGAUGUAACGGGGCUAAACCAUGCACCGAAGCUGCGGCAGCGACGCUGAUGCGUUGUUGGGUAGGGGAGCGUUCUGUAAGCCUGCGAAGGUGACCUGUGAGGGUUGCUGGAGGUAUCAGAAGUGCGAAUGCUGACAUAAGUAACGAUAAAGCGGGUGAAAAGCCCGCUCGCCGGAAGACCAAGGGUUCCUGUCCAACGUUAAUCGGGGCAGGGUGAGUCGACCCCUAAGGCGAGGCCGAAAGGCGUAGUCGAUGGGAAACGGGUUAAUAUUCCCGUACUUGGUGUUACUGCGAAGGGGGGACGGAGAAGGCUAUGUUGGCCGGGCGACGGUUGUCCCGGUUUAAGCGUGUAGGUGUGUGUUCCAGGUAAAUCCGGUUCACUUUAACACUGAGGCGUGAUGACGAGGCACUACGGUGCUGAAGCAACAAAUGCCCUGCUUCCAGGAAAAGCCUCUAAGCAUCAGGUAACAUCAAAUCGUACCCCAAACCGACACAGGUGGUCAGGUAGAGAAUACCAAGGCGCUUGAGAGAACUCGGGUGAAGGAACUAGGCAAAAUGGUGCCGUAACUUCGGGAGAAGGCACGCUGACACGUAGGUGAAGUGAUUUACUCACGGAGCUGAAGUCAGUCGAAGAUACCAGCUGGCUGCAACUGUUUAUUAAAAACACAGCACUGUGCAAACACGAAAGUGGACGUAUACGGUGUGACGCCUGCCCGGUGCCGGAAGGUUAAUUGAUGGGGUCAGCGCAAGCGAAGCUCCUGAUCGAAGCCCCGGUAAACGGCGGCCGUAACUAUAACGGUCCUAAGGUAGCGAAAUUCCUUGUCGGGUAAGUUCCGACCUGCACGAAUGGCGUAAUGAUGGCCAGGCUGUCUCCACCCGAGACUCAGUGAAAUUGAACUCGCUGUGAAGAUGCAGUGUACCCGCGGCAAGACGGAAAGACCCCGUGAACCUUUACUAUAGCUUGACACUGAACAUUGAGCCUUGAUGUGUAGGAUAGGUGGGAGGCUUUGAAGUGUGGACGCCAGUCUGCAUGGAGCCGACCUUGAAAUACCACCCUUUAAUGUUUGAUGUUCUAACGUGGACCCGUUACCCGGGUUGCGGACAGUGUCUGGUGGGUAGUUUGACUGGGGCGGUCUCCUCCUAAAGAGUAACGGAGGAGCACGAAGGUUGGCUAAUCCUGGUCGGACAUCAGGAGGUUAGUGCAAUGGCAUAAGCCAGCUUGACUGCGAGCGUGACGGCGCGAGCAGGUGCGAAAGCAGGUCAUAGUGAUCCGGUGGUUCUGAAUGGAAGGGCCAUCGCUCAACGGAUAAAAGGUACUCCGGGGAUAACAGGCUGAUACCGCCCAAGAGUUCAUAUCGACGGCGGUGUUUGGCACCUCGAUGUCGGCUCAUCACAUCCUGGGGCUGAAGUAGGUCCCAAGGGUAUGGCUGUUCGCCAUUUAAAGUGGUACGCGAGCUGGGUUUAGAACGUCGUGAGACAGUUCGGUCCCUAUCUGCCGUGGGCGCUGGAGAACUGAGGGGGGCUGCUCCUAGUACGAGAGGACCGGAGUGGACGCAUCACUGGUGUUCGGGUUGUCAUGCCAAUGGCACUGCCCGGUAGCUAAAUGCGGAAGAGAUAAGUGCUGAAAGCAUCUAAGCACGAAACUUGCCCCGAGAUGAGUUCUCCCUGAGACUUAAAGUCUCCUGAAGGAACGUUGAAGACGACGACGUUGAUAGGCCGGGUGUGUAAGCGCAGCGAUGCGUUGAGCUAACCGGUACUAAUGAACCGUGAGGCUUAACCUU
rnacentral:rRNA from 1 species